UAAAAUUGUGUUUAAUGCAUUAACUAAAAAAAUCACAAAAUCAAAUAAAAUAGAGUCGAAAAAUAAAGAUUUCACAGAACUAUCAAAAUCGGAGUUUAUUUAUGUUUCCAGUUAAAAAACUUACUUGAAGAGGUAUUUACACGUCUGGGGAGGUCUGAAGCUCAAUCGAGUACAGAAAAAACUUUGCGUCGUGAGUAGGCUGUGAAGAAAGUAAUGUGUCCUUCACUUUCUUCAGGGACGACAACUUUACAGCCAAAUCCCCAUGGUUGUCCAUCGAAGUGAGGAGAGAAAGCGCUUGUUCCUGAGUGGGCUGAGCCAUGGAAUAACUGAAGCCUUCUGUGUAACUAUGUUCGGCUUAUCUGGAAGAGGAAGAUUCAUUUGGAGAUUACGGCCUACAAAUAGCUUUGGAAGAUUGAAGAUUUGAAAACUAUCAGAGGAGAAAUUAAGAAAACACUGCAAGGGUUUGCAUGAGAAAUGAAUACAAAAAUAAUAAGAAAUAUCUACGAAAAGGUGAAGAGAGAGUGUUUUGGCCCUAAUGAACAGUACGACCCAGUUACACUUUUGAGUUCAAUUUCUUCAUCCUGGGUGUUUCAAACAAGAAUUUUUCCUCAGCCAUGAGAGAAAAAGGGUAAGUGAAAGAGAAGGGAAGCAGUAAAAGAUUGACACGUGUGAGAGAAGUGAACCAUUAAACCUUUUACAAAAGAGAUAUUUAAUGAAUGGUAGAAAAUUGUUCAUGAACAGUAGAAUCUGGAUAGGUGUGAAAUGCAGGUCUCAUGAAUGAACAGUGAUGGUCUCAUCCUCUCUUUUAAUUAGUGUAGUGAUGGUGAUUAGUGCACAUGAUUUAUAGCGAUAUUGUUAUGAAACUCAAUUUUCUAUAAAUUUAACGAAUUAAAUACAUUUAUUGAAUUGAACUUACACUCAUGAAACUUUAUUUAUUUAUAACCAAGUUUAAAUUUUAAAAUAAAUAAAUAAAAGAUUAAUUAAUUUAUAUAUUUGAUUAAAGUUGAAAACCUCGAUUAAAAAUAAAUAAAAGAUUAACUAAUUUAAAUAUUUGAUUAAAGUUGAAAACCUCGAUUAAAAAUAUAUGAUUGUAGCACAAAUAUUACACUACACACGAACCGUUUAACCGCUCUUUU
rnacentral:lncRNA from 1 species